GACGAACGCUGGCGGCGUGCUUAACACAUGCAAGUCGAACGGAAAGGCCCUGCUUUUGUGGGGGGCUCGAGUGGCGAACGGGUGAGUAACACGGGAGUAACCUGCCUUUGACUUGGGGAUAACUGCAGGAAACGGGGGCUAAUACCGGAUAGGAGCUCCGGCGGCAGGGUGGGGGUUGGAAAGUUUCGGCGGUUGGGGAUGGACUCGCGGCUUAUCAGCUUGUUUGUGGGGUAGUGGCUUACCAAGGCUUUGACGGGUAGCCGGCCUGAGAGGGUGACCGGCCCCAUUGGGACUGAGAUACGGCCCAGACUCCUACGGGAGGCAGCAGUGGGGAAUAUUGCACAAUGGGCGGAAGCCUGAUGCAGCAACGCCGCGUGCGGGAUGACGGCCUUCGGGUUGUAAACCGCUUUCGCCUGUGACGAAGCGUGAGUGACGGUAAUGGGUAAAGAAGCACCGGCUAACUACGUG
rnacentral:rRNA from 1 species